GGUCGCACUCCCCGCAGCCUUCGCAUGGCGGCGGCUCUUUCCUUCGGGGAGUGACGGCGACCGAUUUCGGAGCGACGGAUUCCCAUGGUGAGUGGCGACCUCGCUGGUUUGGAAAGCGCCUCGUAGGGCAACGACACGAGUUCCGUUUGGUUGCAAGGCGCGACGGGAUGGUGUGUGGCCGCGAAUAGUGUUCCGUCUUUGGCGUUUUCCUCCUCCUCGGUUGCUGAGAUGGCCGGUCGCGGGAAGGCAGUCGAUGCCGGCGCGUCCAAAGGCGACGUCGAGGAGCUCCGAGGCCGGGCUAUAGUUUUUCCUCGGCAGGAUCGCCAGAUUCCUCAAGGUCGUCAAAUACACAAGUUCUUCGGCACAUGAGUACCUCGCCGCUGAGGUCCUGGAACUGGCCGGCAACACUGCCAGGCACAACAACAAGACAUGUAUCAUGUCAGGCCCCGCCACAUCCUGCUCACCAUGCGCAAUGAUGCUGAGCUGACCAAGCUGCUCGGUGGUGCCACCUGUAGGUGCGCCUCUCGCCGUGUGGAUACAUUUCAGAGCCGCAACAUCCUUCCAAGUAAUGUCUCCUCGCUCUUGUCCUCCUCGUCAUCAUACUCCAAUAGGUGUUAGUGAUAGCAAUGCCCAAUUCUCCAUGCUCACCUCCACGCUACACCAUGGGCUGAUACUCGCUCGGUCCAACAAUAAAUCAAGCACAACUACAACUAUGGCCUUCACUACCUUAGCUUUUUGGAGUUGGCACUAAAGUUGUUUGAUGAAAAUCCAAUGGUGCUGAUGGGUAUGAAGUUAUCCCUCGUGAAUAUAUCCAGUCCAUUUUUAAUCCUCGAUGGUCACAAUUAAACUUCACCUUCUCAUGAGACCAUCUUUGCUUUGUUUGAUAAUAAGACAUGACAUAGGGGGCCAAGCAACACGGAUCUGAAGAACCAUGUUACCUAACUUGCUCUAAUACGCUACAAUAAUAAAAGAGGAUAUACACGAGAAUUACACUUCAUAGUUGAUUCCAGAACAUCAUAUACAUGUAUUGGUAUAUUCUCAUCACAAUGUUAGUAGUUGGCUAUAAAUAACUUGUUUAUCAUCCAUCUAGCUCGACGUGAUGGUUACCUGUUCAGUCCCGUGAAUUUAGCAUAAUCAAUCUCCAGCCAUAAAUAGCUGGUUUUGAUUCAUCCAUCUUGCUCAGUAUGAUGGUUAUCUCUCAAUCUCCCUAAAUUUAUCAUGAUCAAUCUCCACCUAUAAAUAACUGGUUUCGAUACAUCCAUCAAGCUUGGCAUGACGGUUAUCUACUUAUUCUCUCUGGAAUCAGCAUGAUCAAUCUCCAAUUUAUGAGUAUUUUAACCCAAUUCGUUCUCUAAAUAUUCCACUCCCUAUCUCAUGUUGUCUGUAGGGAACACAAGACGGACAUGAACUUGGAGCAAGUCCGUCCGUGUCAGCUCCUUUUCAUUUAUUUAUUUUGAGAAUUCCUUCUCAUUUAUUCAUGAGCUUACUUGUGCUACUAUUCUUGUCCGCCGUUCCUUUUCUGCUUGCAUGUUUGGAGCCAUGAGGAUUGCCACUCGCAUAAGCGGCGGCAUACCCCAGAUGGCAACUUGCGUGAAUGAGCUGAUGAGAGGUGAUGGUGAAAGGCUAAUGAUGGCUUCUUUGACCAACACUCGUGCCAUCCCUGGUCUUCUACUCCUCACCAAUACACCAUCGCGUGCCUUAGACUACACCGACACCCUAGGGUUUCCUUUAGUUGGUGUUUUCCGUAGAAGUACCAAAGCGUUUUUAGAGUUUGACAAUAACCUGGCCAUUUUGUUAAUGGAUGAAUAUUCAGAUCAGAUAUAGAAAUCUAACACAUAUGUAUAUAUAUUAGUUGUACCUAUCGUUAUGCUAAAAAUGCAGUUUUGUUCA